GACGAACGCUGGCGGCGUGCUUAACACAUGCAAGUCGAACGGAAAGGCCCCUUUGGGGUUACUCGAGUGGCGAACGGGUGAGUAACACGUGAGUAACCUGCCCUUGACUUCGUGAUAACUUCAUGAAACUGGGGCUAAUACCGAAUAGCAAUCCUUGCUGCAUGGUUGGGGUUGGAAAGCUUCGGCGGUUUUGGAUGGACUCGCGGCUUAUCAGCUUGUUGGUGGGGUAGUGGCUUACCAAGGCUUUGACGGGUAGCCGGCCUGAGAGGGCGACCGGCCAAAUUGGGACUGAGAUACGGCCCAGACUCCUACGGGAGGAAGAAGUGGGGAAUAUUGAACAAUGGGCGGAAGCCUGAUGCAGCAACGCCGCGUGCGGGAUGACGGCCUUCGGGUUGUAAACCGCUUUCAGCAGGGGCGAAGCUUGUGGUGACGGUAGCUGCAGAAGAAGCACCGGAUAACUACG
rnacentral:rRNA from 1 species